rnacentral:rRNA from 1 species
GUGCCAGCCGCCGCGGUAAUACCGGCAACCCGAGUGAUGGCCGAUCUUAUUGGGCCUAAAGCGUCCGUAGCUGGCCGCGCAAGUCCAUCGGGAAAUCCACCUGCUCAACAGGUGGGCGCCCGGUGGAAACUGCACAGCUUGGGACCGGAAGGCUCGAAGGGUACGUGCGGAGUAGGAGUGAAAUCCUAUAAUCCCGCACGGACCACCGAUGGCGAAAGCACUUCGAGAAAACGGAUCCGACAGUGAGGGACGAAAGCCAGGGUCUCCAACCGGAUUAGAUACCCUGUAGUCC